rnacentral:lncRNA from 1 species
AUGAGGGGGGGCAGAGGGGGGGCAGGAGACCCCCCAGGACCCUCCAAUGUCCCCCCAGCCCCAUGUGGGACCCAGCCCCACGUGGAUCUGAUCCCCACAGAUACCCAUUCCCUGGGGGGGUCCCAUCCUCGUGGGGUUCCCACCUCCACAGGAGUCCCAGCCCCCGAGUGGACCCAAACUCUCGUGGAUCCCACCCUGAGGAGGAUCCCAGCCCCAGGGGGGUCCCAGCCCCAGGGGGGGCUGAUCCCACAGGGUCCCACCCCAUGGCGCACUGACCCCACACACUGCUUUAUGGGGACUCAGGGCAGUGCUUCUGGGCUCCCCCCCCCAGAACAGGGCCGGUGCCCCCCCUGUGCCCUGCUUUGCUCCCUGGGGACGCAGGAGACACGGCCCCGUGCACCAGGCUGGCCGGGUGGCACGGACUUUGUGCCCCAUGGGGACACGGCCUGGGCACCCCGGGGGGCUGCAGCCCCCUGUGUGGGGCGGCCGUGGGAUGGGGAUGGGGCAAAGGAGCAGUGGGGCAGUGCUGUGUGGUGCCUGGUGCUGUGCAGUGCAGUGCAGUGCCGUGCAGUGCUGUGCAGUGUGGUGCAAUGCUGUGUAGUGUUGUGCCUUGCAGUGGUGUGCAAAGUAAUGCUGCACAGUGCAGUGCUGUGCAGAGCCAUGCAGUGCUGUGCAGUGCGAAGCAAUGCUGCACAGUGCUGUGCUGUGCAGGGCCGUGCAGUGCAGAGCAAUGCUGCACAGUGCUGUGCUGUGCAAUGCUGCACUGUGCAGUGCAACACUGUGCAGUGCCUUGCAGUACUGUGCAGUGCAGUGCUGCACAGUGCUGUGCUGUGCGGUGCCUUGCAGUGCUGUGCAGUGCUGUGCAGUGCAGCAGUGCUGUGCAAUGCUGUGCAGUGCAGUGCCAUGCAGCACAGUGCAGUGCCACGCAGCACAGCACCACGCAGCACACUGCAGUGCCGUGCAGCACCGAGCAGCACAGCACUGCAGCAUGCAGCACACUGCAGUGCCAUGCAGCACAGCACAGAGCAGCGCCAUGCAGCACAGCACCAUGCAGCACAGUACCACACUGCAGCCUCGUGCAGCGCAGUGCAGUGCCCCCACCACUGCACUUUGCUGUGCAGUGCAGUGCCAUGCAACACAGUGCCAUGCAGCACAGCACAGCACAGCACCAUGCAGCACAGCACUGCUCUGUGCAGCCUCAUGCAGCGCAGUGCAGUGCCCCCAACACUGCACUUCACUGUGCAGUGCCCCCAGGGCUUCCCUUUGGAGCUCACGUGGUCCCCACACCCUGCAGGGAACCUUUUGUCCCUGAGCCUUUUGUCUCUGUCCCCACGGCCGUGGGCUGGGUGCGGGAUCGGGCCCCGCUGA